GGACAAAGCAUUCGAGGAUUUUGAAGACCUAGGAGAUGAUGAGGAACUUGGAACUGCUGAUUGGCCUACAGUAAAGAGAUACAUCACAAGCUUAAAUGAUUUGGAGGGGGACCUGUGCAUCCUCAUUAUGAAGCUGAAGCUGAUAAUAACCUGGACCCUUCAAACUUGAAAUAUAUCAGAGUACGGCUUUUAAAUGGUGUCCAGUCAGCAUACUGGGGAAUGCUUGAUGAAGGGAGAAUUUCACUAAGUACAGCAAAUAUUCUGAUGCAAUCUGUAGAUGAACCUAUUGAUGUGGCAUCUCAUGAACCUUUAUGUGAUUGGAAGGGCUUAAAAUCUUAUGUUCAUUUCCCAAAUUAUUACAAGUUUCUUCAGACAAGUAUGUUCCCACAAAAACUGAUCACGUAUUUCACUGUGGAAAGGCUGGAAAAUGGGUGCUGUGUUUGUGCUGCAUUUCUUUGAGCUCAUAGAAUUGCACAACGGCAACUUCAUGAGUUUAUAGUUGACAGUGUUGUUGCUUCUACUGUAAUCUCUGAAAGUGAGGCUGAAGGAGAAGAGGCCAGGAAGUUUUUGGAAUAUGUCCGUACAACUUUUCCACAGGUUUUGCGUGUUGUUAAAACAAGACAAGUGACCUACUCGGUAUUGAACCAUGUGAUGGAUUAUUUACAAAACCUCGAGAAGGUUGGUUUACUGGAAGAAAAGGAAAUGCUUCAUCUUCAUGAUGCUGUCCAGACUGACUUGAAGAAGCUUUUAAGGAAUCCUCCCUUAGUAAAGAUUCAGAAAAUAAAUUAUCUUAUAAGUGCAC